rnacentral:lncRNA from 1 species
UUUGCAGAUAAAUCCUAAAAAAUCACCACUAUAUUAUAAUAUGAGUAAAAAUAUUACAUAAACUUAUUAUUUUCAUAUAAUGAUUCAUUUUAUUCAUAUCAAUCCUUUGACUCAGAGAUAUUCAAAUGAAAGCAAACAAAUUUUAACAGUUAGGAUAUGUAUAUCCACACAUGGCAGCCAUUUUUUUAAGCUCGAUUCUGUCAAAAACCCGUCUAUAAUCUUCAUCCUGAUUGUACCCACAAUAACAUGGCUGUUGUUCCUUCAUCUUGGUAGCGGCUUCUUAUGAGAAUUCAAGCAUGGGUCGUACUCCAAAAGAGUUGCUACAUAGCGCUGCCUCUGCCAUGCGUGUUUUAUUGGGAAACACCCCCACCACCACUAGCACCUUCGCACACGAUACAACAAUGGAGUCCCUCUUCAUGUUAUUUCCCUUUUUACCUUUUUUUUUUUUAAUUUCCA